UAGUUAUAGCUUCUGAAUUAGAAGUCGUAUUGGAUUAAUUUUUUUCUUUUUUUUUUCUAUUUUCAGAUGCCGGACAUGGAGCACAUGAUGCCCAUGGAGCCACCGACGCUCACGGCGGCGAUGCCCACGGAGCAGCUGCUGGUCAUGGUGACGCCCACGGAGAUGCUCACGGUGAUGCUCAUGGCGCUGGAAACGGAUCAGAAAAAA
rnacentral:sRNA from 1 species